AGAUAAGUAAAAAGAUUAUGAGUUGAUAAUCUCUAAGUAUUUUUUUUGAUUAAACCAACUCCAAUGGGUGUAAUUCAAGAUUUUCCUGUACUUUUAUCUUUACUUCGUGGUUUAAUAUAGCUAGUAGAUUAAUUAAGUACUUUAAAGAAAAGCCUUCAAUUUUUAAUCUGUUAAUUUGAGAUACUUUAGGCUGAUCAAUAUUCAAUAUAUUUGCUGCUUCCUUUUGUGUCUUAUAUCUUGUGCUUAUUACCCGUGCAAUAAUCUUCAUUAACUCCAAUUUUACACCCUUAACAUCAGCUAGGUGUAUUACUACAGAAGAAUUUGAUUGUGAAUUUUGCAUGAUAAGUUACUUUAACUUCUCUUCUUUGAAUAAUACAUGCCUCCUUACUACGGGAUCAUAUUUUCUAAAUUCCAACUUUUUAAUAAGUUUUUUUGGAUUGCGCUUUUUUACAUAAAAAUAACCCGUCAGUUUUUUUUCACCAGUAUUUGUUUUUUUAGUGGCGGUACUAACUAACUUCACGAGUAGAGGAGUAUUCUUUUUAGCCAUAAAUAUACUAAUAAAAUAAAUUAAGUUUAUUAAUCAAAGCAUAAGAAGUCAACUCCUUUUUUUGGUUUGUUG